rnacentral:rRNA from 1 species
AUUGAACGCUGGCGGCAUGCCUUACACAUGCAAGUCGAACGGUAACGGGCCUUCGGGUGCCGACGAGUGGCGAACGGGUGAGUAAUACAUCGGAACGUGCCCGAUCGUGGGGGAUAACGAGGCGAAAGCUUUGCUAAUACCGCAUACGAUCUACGGCUGAAAGCAGGGGACCGCAAGGCCUUGCGCGGACGGAGCGGCCGAUGGCAGAUUAGGUAGUUGGUGGGAUAAAAGCUUACCAAGCCGGCGAUCUGUAGCUGGUCUGAGAGGAUGAUCAGCCACACUGGGACUGAGACACGGCCCAGACUCCUACGGGAGGCAGCAGUGGGGAAUUUUGGACAAUGGGCGCAAGCCUGAUCCAGCCAUGCCGCGUGCAGGAUGAAGGCCUUCGGGUUGUAAACUGCUUUUGUACGGAACGAAAAGCCUUCUUUUAAUACAGGAGGGUCAUGACGGUACCGUAAGAAUAAGCACCGGCUAACUACGUG